rnacentral:rRNA from 1 species
GACGAGCCGUGCGAACGUUGUUCGGAAUCACUGGGCAUAAAGGGCGCGUAGGCGGCUUAUCAAGUCAGGGGUGAAAUCCGGCAGCUCAACUGUCGAAGUGCCUUUGAUACUGAUGAGCUAGAGGGAGAUAGGGGUAUGCGGAACUUCCGGUGGAGCGGUGAAAUGCGUUGAUAUCGGAAGGAACGCCGGUGGCGAAAGCGGCGUACUGGAUCUCUUCUGACGCUGAGGCGCGAAAGCUAGGGGAGCAAACGGG